rnacentral:lncRNA from 1 species
UUUAGUCUAUACUCUCUGAUACUUGAAUAUUCAAGUAACGUUUUCAAAAAUUGGAGAUAAUUAAUAAAACUUUAUCAUUUCGUAAACUUAUUAAAUACUAUAAAAGACCUUUGUAAGUAGGCCCUGAAAUGUGGAAAACAUUGUAAUUAAAACACAAUCUAUAGUUUUAUAAUAGAUGCAAUGUGUAUAUAUAUAGAUAAUAAUAGAAAGAAAAAAAAAAAAGAAUAUGAAAACGAUAUAAGCCAAACAUACUUAUUAUGAAU